CCUACGGGAGGCAGCAGUAGGGAAUCUUCCGCAAUGGGCGAAAGCCUGACGGAGCAACGCCGCGUGAGUGAUGAAGGUCUUCGGAUCGACAAACUCUGUUUAGUUAAGGGG
rnacentral:rRNA from 1 species